rnacentral:ribozyme from 12 species
AAGAAGGAGAAAAAGAAGGAGAAUCAUUGAAAACGGAUGGAUCAAAGUCACAAAGCGGAAAAGGAGGUGAUUUUACCUUUAAUUUCGUCUCUGCGCUCUCUUUUCUUCCCUCUUUUUCUUCCUCUUCUUCUUCCUCUUCU